rnacentral:lncRNA from 1 species
UAACAGAGGAAGCAGUGACAACUGCUCUAAGAAGAGCCAUCAGUUUCUAUUCUACAAUUCAGGCUCACGAUGGCCACUGGCCAACUGAAUCCGUCGGCCCUUUGUUUCUCCUCCCUCCUUUGGUAAAUUUGCCGCCCUUUUAAUUCCACUUGAACAUUUUCCCAAAUCAUAAAUUGGAUUUCGAGGACUACAUUUGAAUAAAUAAGCUUAAGCCUCUAGACGAGGUGAUUCAAUGUGCUACGGGAUCAGACAGGUUAUAAGUUCAAGUUUCUUUGGACCAAAUGAUUUAACAAUGUGUGGUCCUAGAUAUUGCACACAUACAUGUUACAACUAAGGAAUCGCAAUUUUGAAGCGUACAGGUCUUAGCCUUGUAUGUAACUGGAGCAAUCAAUGUUGUUCUAUUGCGAGAAUCUCAGAAAGAGAUUAUACGAUACGUAUACAAUCAUUAGGCUAGGUUUAAACUGAAUUUUUGAUUCAUUUUUGGGUUUUCUGGAACAAAUGUUUCGUUUUUAUAAGGCCUCUUUAUUAGAUUAUUGUAUUUUUUCAUCUGACUAUGAGCUUCACUAAAUUAGUGUUGUGAUCCUUGAUGGAAUGAAGAUGGAGGUUGGGAGAUACAUAUAAAGGGUCAUAGUACCAUACUUGGUUCUGUACUUAGCUACAUUACGCUUAGGUUGCUAAGAGAAGGACAAGAAGAUGGUGAAGACAGGGCCGUAUCUAGAGGUUGAAAAUGGAUACUUGACCAUGUAGCGCUUUGGGGAUACCAUCGUGGGGAAUGUUUUAGCUCACAGUGAGAUCAUGACUUGAAACUCUCUCUAUAUGUACUUGUGUUUUUGUCAGAUUAAUAAUUCAACAGAAAAUAAAGUUUUGAUUUUCUCUUCCACUACAGGUGCUCGGAGUAUAUGAGUAGGAUGGCUGGAACCCAAUUCCCCCAGGAUUCUAGCUGCUUCCCCAAUUGUCCCCAAUUCAUCCAGGAUGAAUAACUACUGUAUAAGUAAAAAAGAAUUGGUUUCUUUCAAAUCGUUAAAGCCCAGCCCCAACAAAGAAGAUGGUCAAAAGUGUGUUGGUGGUGGAGGGGAAGGGAACAAAAUCCCACGUGGCAUGUUUAGGACACUCUUCCCAGAUGAUCAAAUUUCAGCUAAACGACAUUGCAAAAAAAAAAAAACAAUCUGGAAUUUGAUCUUUUGAAGUCUAUCAUAGCAGAUUUAUUUAAAAUCCCCAAAUUAAAUGAAAUCCCAAAACUCCCAAAAUAAAACCUUAACUAACAAAAAUCACAGCACUGAAGAAAGGUCUCAAAUUGAAAACUUAAGUCCACGAAAUCAGAUUUAUC